rnacentral:tRNA from 1 species
GGGGUUAUAGUUAAUAAUAACAUUUAAUUUGCAUUUAAAAAGUACUGUAAAGUUAACCUUA